rnacentral:rRNA from 1 species
UACGGAGGGUGCGAGCGUUAAUCGGAAUUACGGGGCGUAAAGCGUGCGCAGGCGGCUUUGCAAGACAGAUGUGAAAUCCCCGGGCUCAACCUGGGAACUGCAUUUGUGACUGCAAGGCUAGAGUACGGCAGAGGGGGAUGGAAUUCCGCGUGUAGCAGUGAAAUGCGUAGAUAUGCGGAGGAACACCAAUGGCGAAGGCAAUCCCCUGGGCCUGUACUGACGCUCAUGCACGAAAGCGUGGGGAGCAAACAGG